rnacentral:rRNA from 1 species
UGAGUAACACGUAUGCAACCUGCCUGCCACAGCCGGAUAAUCGGGAGAAAUUCCGUCUAAUACGGCAUAAUGCAUCGACGGGACAUCCUGUUGGUGCCAAGGUUGAUUCCGGUGGCGGAUGGGCAUGCGUCGCAUUAGUUAGUUGGCGGUGUAACGGACCACCAAGACGACGAUGCGUAGGGGUUCUGAGAGGAAGGUCCCCCACACUGGUACUGAGACACGGACCAGACUCCUACGGGAGGCAGCAG